rnacentral:rRNA from 1 species
UUCGCCAGGGUACUACAAGCAUAAGCUUAAAACCUAAAGGACUUGGCGGUGCUUUAGACCCACCUAGAGGAGCCUGUUCUAUAACCGAUAACCCCCGUUAAACCUCACCUUUUCUUGUUUAUUCCGCCUAUAUACCGCCGUCGUCAGCUUACCCUGUGGAGGUAUUCUAAUAAGCAAAAUUGAUACAAUCCAAAACGCCAGGUCGAGGUGUAACAUAUGAAAAGGAAAGAAAUGGGCUACAUUUCCUACUUUAGGAUACUACGGAAAUUGAAAUGAAACAACACAUUAAAGGAGGAUUUAGCAGUAAGAAGGAAUUAGAGCGUCCU